UCUGCUGCCAUGAAAAUAUAAUAAUUCUCAUAAUGUUAUUGCGAUGGCAGGACCAGAAAAUUCUGCCCAUAGAAUAUUUACAGCA